rnacentral:rRNA from 1 species
UUAAGCGACUAAGCGUACACGGUGGAUGCCCUGGCAGUCAGAGGCGAUGAAGGGCGUGCUAAUCUGCGAUAAGCGCCGGUAAGGUGAUAUGAACCGUUAUAACCGGCGAUACCCGAAUGGGGAAACCCAGUGUGAUUCGUCACACUAUCAUUAACUGAAUCCAUAGGUUAAUGAGGCGAACCGGGGGAACUGAAACAUCUAAGUACCCCGAGGAAAAGAAAUCAACCGAGAUUCCCCCAGUAGCGGCGAGCGAACGGGGAGGAGCCCAGAGCCUGAAUCAGCAUGUGUGUUAGUGGAAGCGUCUGGAAAGGCGCGCGAUACAGGGUGACAGCCCCGUACACAAAAGCGCAUGUGCUGUGAGCUCGAUGAGUAGGGCGGGACACGUGGUAUCCUGUCUGAAUAUGGGGGGACCAUCCUCCAAGGCUAAAUACUCCUGACUGACCGAUAGUGAACCAGUACCGUGAGGGAAAGGCGAAAAGAACCCCGGCGAGGGGAGUGAAAAAGAACCUGAAACCGUGUACGUACAAGCAGUGGGAGCUGAGGGAAAGGCGAAAAGAACCCCGGCGAGGGGAGUGAAAAAGAACCUGAAACCGUGUACGUACAAGCAGUGGGAGCCCCACCACUAAGCCAGUGGUGAACUCCACAUACGCAUCCUUUGCUGAGGAUACGGUUAACGGAGCGAAAGCGACGUUCAACCGCAAAAGAAGCAGAGGGGGCUUAGUGGUGGGGUGACUGCGUACCUUUUGUAUAAUGGGUCAGCGACUUAUAUUCUGUAGCAAGGUUAACCGAAUAGGGGAGCCGUAGGGAAACCGAGUCUUAACCGGGCGUUAAGUUGCAGGGUAUAGACCCGAAACCCGGUGAUCUAGNAGGGAAACCGAGUCUUAACCGGGCGUUAAGUUGCAGGGUAUAGACCCGAAACCCGGUGAUCUAGCCAUGGGCAGGUUGAAGGUUGGGUAACACUAACUGGAGGACCGAACCGACUAAUGUUGAAAAAUUAGCGGAUGACCUGUGGCUGGGGGUGAAAGGCCAAUCAAACCGGGAGAUAGCUGGUUCUCCCCGAAAGCUAUUUAGGUAGCGCCUCGUGAAUUCAUCUCCGGGGGUAGAGCACUGUUUCGGCUAGGGGGCCAUCCCGGCUUACCAACCCGAUGCAAACUGCGAAUACCGGAGAAUGUUAUCACGGGAGACACACGGCGGGUGCUAACGUCCGUCGUGAAGAGGGAAACAACCCAGACCGCCAGCUAAGGUCCCAAAGUCAUGGUUAAGUGGGAAACGAUGUGGGAAGGCCCAGACAGCCAGGAUGUUGGCUUAGAAGCAGCCAUCAUUUAAAGAAAGCGUAAUAGCUCACUGGUCGAGUCGGCCUGCGCGGAAGAUGUAACGGGGCUAAACCAUGCACCGAAGCUGCGGCAGCGAGUAAUAGCUCACUGGUCGAGUCGGCCUGCGCGGAAGAUGUAACGGGGCUAAACCAUGCACCGAAGCUGCGGCAGCGAACGUAUCACUUAAAGCGAUUCAGCGGGUUACGAUUGACGGAGCGAAGCGACGUCAAAGCGUAUACAAAGUCGAGUCGGUUUAAGGAUACGUUCGUUGGGUAGGGGAGCGUUCUGUAAGCCUGUGAAGGUGGCCUGUGAGGGUUGCUGGAGGUAUCAGAAGUGCGAAUGCUNAAGUGUGGACGCCAGUCUGCAUGGAGCCGACCUUGAAAUACCACCCUUUAAUGUUUGAUGUUCUAACGUGGACCCGUAAUCCGGGUUGCGGACAGUGUGAAGGUGGCCUGUGAGGGUUGCUGGAGGUAUCAGAAGUGCGAAUGCUGACAUAAGUAACGAUAAAGCGGGUGAAAAGCCCGCUCGCCGGAAGACCAAGGGUUCCUGUCCAACGUUAAUCGGGGCAGGGUGAGUCGACCCCUAAGGCGAGGCCGAAAGGCGUAGUCGAUGGGAAACGGGUUAAUAUUCCCGUACUUGGUGUUACUGCGAAGGGGGGACGGAGAAGGCUAUGUUGGCCGGGCGACGGUUGUCCCGGUUUAAGCGUGUAGGUGUGUGUUCCAGGUAAAUCCGGUUCACUUUAACACUGAGGCGUGAUGACGAGGCACUACGGUGCUGAAGCAACAAAUGCCCUGCUUCCAGGAAAAGCCUCUAAGCAUCAGGUAACAUCAAAUCGUACCCCAAACCGACACAGGUGGUCAGGUAGAGAAUACCAAGGCGCUUGAGAGAACUCGGGUGAAGGAACUAGGCAAAAUGGUGCCGUAACUUCGGGAGAAGGCACGCUGACACGUAGGUGAAGUGAUUUACUCAUGGAGCUGAAGUCAGUCGAAGAUACCAGCUGGCUGCAACUGUUUAUUAAAAACACAGCACUGUGCAAACACGAAAGUGGACGUAUACGGUGUGACGCCUGCCCGGUGCCGGAAGGUUAAUUGAUGGGGUCAGCGCAAGCGAAGCUCCUGAUCGAAGCCCCGGUAAACGGCGGCCGUAACUAUAACGGUCCUAAGGUAGCGAAAUUCCUUGUCGGGUAAGUUCCGACCUGCACGAAUGGCGUAAUGAUGGCCAGGCUGUCUCCACCCGAGACUCAGUGAAAUUGAACUCGCUGUGAAGAUGCAGUGUACCCGCGGCAAGACGGAAAGACCCCGUGAACCUUUACUAUAGCUUGACACUGAACAUUGAGCCUUGAUGUGUAGGAUAGGUGGGAGGCUUUGAAGCGUGGACGCCAGUCUGCGUGGAGCCGACCUUGAAAUACCACCCUUUAAUGUUUGAUGUUCUAACGUGGACCCGUAAUCCGGGUUGCGGACAGUGUCUGGUGGGUAGUUUGACUGGGGCGGUCUCCUCCUAAAGAGUAACGGAGGAGCACGAAGGUUGGCUAAUCCUGGUCGGACAUCAGGAGGUUAGUGCAAUGGCAUAAGCCAGCUUGACUGCGAGCGUGACGGCGCGAGCAGGUGCGAAAGCAGGUCAUAGUGAUCCGGUGGUUCUGAAUGGAAGGGCCAUCGCUCAACGGAUAAAAGGUACUCCGGGGAUAACAGGCUGAUACCGCCCAAGAGUUCAUAUCGACGGCGGUGUUUGGCACCUCGAUGUCGGCUCAUCACAUCCUGGGGCUGAAGUAGGUCCCAAGGGUAUGGCUGUUCGCCAUUUAAAGUGGUACGCGAGCUGGGUUUAGAACGUCGUGAGACAGUUCGGUCCCUAUCUGCCGUGGGCGCUGGAGAACUGAGGGGGGCUGCUCCUAGUACGAGAGGACCGGAGUGGACGCAUCACUGGUGUUCGGGUUGUCAUGCCAAUGGCACUGCCCGGUAGCUAAAUGCGGAAGAGAUAAGUGCUGAAAGCAUCUAAGCACGAAACUUGCCCCGAGAUGAGUUCUCCCUGAGACUUAGAGUCUCCUGAAGGAACGUUGAAGACGACGACGUUGAUAGGCCGGGUGUGUAAGCGCAGCGAUGCGUUGAGCUAACCGGUACUAAUGAACCGUGAGGCUUAACCUU